rnacentral:rRNA from 1 species
UUAAUUUGAGAGUUUGAUCCUGGCUCAGGACGAACGCUGGCGGCGUGCCUAAUACAUGCAAGUCGAACGAACUCUGGUAUUGAUUGGUGCUUGCAUCAUGAUUUACAUUUGAGUGAGUGGCGAACUGGUGAGUAACACGUGGGAAACCUGCCCAGAAGCGGGGGAUAACACCUGGAAACAGAUGCUAAUACCGCAUAACAACUUGGACCGCAUGGUCCGAGUUUGAAAGAUGGCUUCGGCUAUCACUUUUUGGAUGGUCCCGCGGCGUAUUAGCUAGAUGGUGAGGUAACGGCUCACCAUGGCAAUGAUACGUAGCCGACCUGAGAGGGUAAUCGGCCACAUUGGGACUGAGACACGGCCCAAACUCCUACGGGAGGCAGCAGUAGGGAAUCUUCCACAAUGGACGAAAGUCUGAUGGAGCAACGCCGCGUGAGUGAAGAAGGGUUUCGGCUCGUAAAAACUCUGUUGUUAAAGAAGAACAUAUCUGAGAGUAACUGUUCAGGUAUUGACGGUAUUUAACCAGAAAGCCACGGCUAACUACGUGCCAGCAGCCGCGGUAAUACGUAGGUGGCAAGCGUUGUCCGGAUUUAUUGGGCGUAAAGCGAGCGCAGGCGGUUUUUAAGUCUGAUGUGAAAGCCUUCGGCUCAACCGAAGAAGUGCAUCGGAAACUGGGAAACUUGAGUGCAGAAGAGGACAGUGGAACUCCAUGUGUAGCGGUGAAAUGCGUAGAUAUAUGGAAGAACACCAGUGGCGAAGGCGGCUGUCUGGUCUGUAACUGACGCUGAGGCUCGAAAGUAUGGGUAGCAAACAGGAUUAGAUACCCUGGUAGUCCAUACCGUAAACGAUGAAUGCUAAGUGUUGGAGGGUUUCCGCCCUUCAGUGCUGCAGCUAACGCAUUAAGCAUUCCGCCUGGGGAGUACGGCCGCAAGGCUGAAACUCAAAGGAAUUGACGGGGGGCCCGCACAAGCGGUGGAGCAUGUGGUUUAAUUCGAAGCUACGCGAAGAACCUUACCAGGUCUUGACAUACUAUGCAAAUCUAAGAGAUUAGACGUUCCCUUCGGGGACAUGGAUACAGGUGGUGCAUGGUUGUCGUCAGCUCGUGUCGUGAGAUGUUGGGUUAAGUCCCGCAACGAGCGCAACCCUUAUUAUCAGUUGCCAGCAUUAAGUUGGGCACUCUGGUGAGACUGCCGGUGACAAACCGGAGGAAGGUGGGGAUGACGUCAAAUCAUCAUGCCCCUUAUGACCUGGGCUACACACGUGCUACAAUGGAUGGUACAACGAGUUGCGAACUCGCGAGAGUAAGCUAAUCUCUUAAAGCCAUUCUCAGUUCGGAUUGUAGGCUGCAACUCGCCUACAUGAAGUCGGAAUCGCUAGUAAUCGCGGAUCAGCAUGCCGCGGUGAAUACGUUCCCGGGCCUUGUACACACCGCCCGUCACACCAUGAGAGUUUGUAACACCCAAAGUCGGUGGGGUAACCUUUUAGGAACCAGCCGCCUAAGGUGGGACAGAUGAUUAGGGUGAAGUCGUAACAAGGUAGCCGUAGGAGAACCUGCGGCUGGAUCACCUCCUUUCUAAGGAA